rnacentral:rRNA from 1 species
GACGAACGCUGGCGGCGUGCUUAACACAUGCAAGUCGAACGGAAAGGCCCUGCUUUUGUGGGGUGCUCGAGUGGCGAACGGGUGAGUAACACGUGAGUAACCUGCCCUUGACUUUGGGAUAACUUCAGGAAACUGGUGCUAAUACCGGAUAGGAGCUCCUGCUGCAUGGUGGGGGUUGGAACGUUUCGGCGGUUGGGGAUGGACUCGCGGCUUAUCAGCUUGUUGGUGGGGUAGUGGCUUACCAAGGCUUUGACGGGUAGCCGGCCUGAGAGGGUGACCGGCCACAUUGGGACUGAGAUACGGCCCAGACUCCUACGGGAGGCAGCAGUGGGGAAUAUUGCACAAUGGGCGGAAGCCUGAUGCAGCAACGCCGCGUGCGGGAUGACGGCCUUCGGGUUGUAAACCGCUUUCGCCUGUGACGAAGCGUGAGUGACGGUAAUGGGUAAAGAAGCACCGGCUAACUACGUG